rnacentral:lncRNA from 10 species
GACUUUUGCAGGGCUGUGCCUCCUUUCCUCCCCAGACAAAAUCCAUCACGUCAGCAGUCACAGGGCACCCUGGUUCCCUCUCUGAAUGAACUGUUAAAUGACUAAGCUGGCUCCCAACAGAGGCAGAGCCCAGCAAUAUGCGGCCUGUAAUCUGUCAGAUGAUACAGCAACAGGCCCAGUGAGGGGCCCGACACACCCCCCAGGAGAGUGGAGUCUCUCACUGCAUGUGACGUGGAAGACGCCGAAGAGGUGAGGGAGGCACCAUAUGCUGCGGGCCUGCCAAGGGAGAAUAAACAGCACCGGCAGCCUGGCACAGAGCUCUGGCGGGAACGUCCACCAAGAUCGGUCAGGCACUCUCAUGGCGUCCUCCUGGAUACAGGCUUUUGCUUUUGUUUUUAAUUUUGGAGCAGUGAAGCCGAAAGUGAGGAGUGAGGACAAGGAGAAGACCCAUUUGCUCCUGUUCAUUCAAACAGCAUCUCUUCAUUUUGAAAUUGGCAAGAGGCAGUUCGGGGCUGUGGCAGGUCCUGUACACCACCUGUUGCCUCCCAAGUCACUGUGCCUUUCUGGCUUUCUUUACCUAUGUCCUGUAAAACGCCAGUUAAUAAAUGCUCCAUAUGCAGCACCCGUUGGUUUGCAAACUCCGUAGAAGAACUUCUGAUAAUCCCACAUCUCUGAACUUGAUUUAGGGCAAGAACUCUACAUCUUCAACAUUUUGUAGAGCAUUCCCUGCGAUGUGGAAAAUUCUGCUGGGCUAUUCCCUGAGGACACCUCUACCUUUCGUGUCCAGAAUUGGUGGGUUCUUGGUCUCACUGACUUCAAGAAUGAAGCCGCGGACCCUCGCAGCUCAAGCAUAUCUGAAUCGAGAAAAGCAGACAUGAUUGAAGCGCAUUUAUCUCCACUAAUUAAGAGGCUUAUGCCAGGCUGAGCUGAGAUUGUAACACCAGAUGAGCCUCCAUUUCAUCCCGCUACACCUGGAGAAGCUCCUGUGGGAGGAAGACUCAUGGAGACACUUUAAACUGGAAGCAAGAGACCCCAGGGAAGAGUGUUCUUAGGCAGAGGGAACAUAACAUGCUAACGUGCUAUGAGGGGGACCUCAGCUGAUUGGAUGAUGCCCACCAUAUUGGGGGAGGAUCUUCCUCACCCAGUCUACCAACUGCCAUGCCAAUUUCCUCCAGAAACAC